rnacentral:rRNA from 1 species
CCAAUAGCGUAUAUUAAAGUUGUUGCAGUUAAAAAGCUCGUAGUUGAAUUUCGGGAUUGACACAUCGGUCGUGCCUUAAGGGGUAUGAACUGGCGUAGUCAAUUUCUCACCUUCUGGAGAACCGCGAUGCCCUUAAUUGGGUGUCUCGGGGAACCAGGACCUUUACUUUGAAAAAAUUAGAGUGUUUAAAGCAGGCAUUUUGCUUGAAUACAUUAGCAUGGAAUAAUAAAAUAGGACGGCAUGAUUCUAUUUUGUUGGUUUCUAGGAUCACCGUAAUGAUUAAUAGGGAUAGUUGGGGGCAUUAGUAUUCAAUUGUCAGAGGUGAAAUUCUUGGAUUUAUUGAAGACUAACUACUGCGAAAGCAUUUGCCAAGGAUGUUUUCAUUAAUCAAGAACGAAAGUUAGGGGAUCGAAGACGAUCAGAUACCGUCGUAGUCUUAACCAUAAACUAUGCCGACUAGGAAUCAGACGAUGUUAAUUUUUUAAUGACUCGUUUGGCACCUUACG